GUCCUGUUGAUUAUUUAAUAGGUCUGGCCUGCCCAGUGAUAAUUUUAACGGCCGCGGUAUAUUGACCGUGCAAAGGUAGCAUAAUCAUUAGUCUUUUAAUAGGAGGCUGGUAUGAAAGGUCUUACGAGAAAUUAACUGUCUCAAUUACAAGUUUGAAUUUAUCUUUUGAGUCAAAAGACUUAAAUUUAAUUGGAGGACGAGAAGACCCUAUAGAGCUUAACAUUUUUUCUUCUAUAUUUUUUUAGUUUUAUAUGAUUUAUUUAUAGUCUAAAAAUUGUUUUGUUGGGGUGACAAUAAAUAUAUAUUUAACUUUUAUCAUAAUAUUUACAUUAAUUUAUGAUUUUUGGAUCCAAAAUUUUUGAUCAUUAGUUCAAGUUACC
rnacentral:rRNA from 1 species